UACAGAGGGUGCAAGCGUUAAUCGGAAUUACUGGGCGUAAAGGGCGCGUAGGUGGUUGUAUAAGUGAGGUGUGAAAGCCCUGGGCUCAACCCAGGAAGUGCACUCGAAACUGUCAGGCUUGAAUAUGGAAGAGGGUCGCGGAAUUCCCGGUGUAGAGGUGAAAUUCGUAGAUAUCGGGAGGAACACCAGUGGCGAAGGCGGCGACCUGGGCCAAUAUUGACGCUGAGGUGCGAAAGCGUGGGGAGCAAACAGGA
rnacentral:rRNA from 1 species